UCCCAUCCGGGCGCAUGUUAAGCUGGAGACGUGCCUCGUGCGGUGCGGCUGGACGCCAAGUCUGCUGGAAAGCAGCAUCAGAGAGGGUGAGAAUCCCGUGCUUGGUCUGGCGGCAGUGCCGUGUUGUGGGGUGCGCUCGACGAGUCGCGUUGUUUGGGAAUGCAGCGCAAAGAGGGGUGGUAAAGGCCAUCCAAGGCUAAAUAUGGGGGAGAGACCGAUAGCGAACAAGUACCGUGAGGGAAAGAUGAAAAGCACUUUGGAAAGAGAGUUAAAGAGUACGUGAAAUUGCCAAAAGGGAAGCGUUGGAAGUCAGUGCCGUAGCGCAGCUUGUUCUGCCCUCUCUUGGGGGGUGUAUUGUGGCUGCGUGGGGCCCAUGUGGGUUGCUGGGUGGGGGAGAAGGCGGUGCGGAAGGUGGCUUUU
rnacentral:rRNA from 1 species